rnacentral:rRNA from 1 species
GUGCCAGCCGCCGCGGUAAUACGGAAGGUCCGGGCGUUAUCCGGAUUUAUUGGGUUUAAAGGGAGCGCAGGCGGGUUGUUAAGCGUGACGUGAAAUGUAGCCGCUCAACGGCUGAACUGCGUCGCGAACUGGCAGUCUUGAGUGAGUACGACGUCAGCGGAAUUCGUGGUGUAGCGGUGAAAUGCUUAGAUAUCACGAAGAACCCCGAUUGCGAAGGCAGCUGACGAGUCCUUUACUGACGCUAAAGCUCGAAGGUGCGGGUAUCGAACAGGAUUAGAUACCCUGGUAGUCCGCACGGUAAACGAUGGAUGCCCGCUGUAUGCGAUAUAUUGUAUGCGGCCAAGCGAAAGCGUUAAGCAUCCCACCUGGGGAGUACGCCGGCAACGGUGAAACUCAAAGGAAUUGACGGGGGCCCGCACAAGCGGAGGAACAUGUGGUUUAAUUCGAUGAUACGCGAGGAACCUUACCCGGGCUUGAACUGCAGCUGAACGAUUCAGAGAUGAUGAGGCCCUUCGGGGCAGCUGUGGAGGUGCUGCAUGGUUGUCGUCAGCUCGUGCCGUGAGGUGUCGGCUUAAGUGCCAUAACGAGCGCAACCCUUUUCGCCAGUUGCCAUCAGGUGAUGCUGGGCACUCUGGGGACACUGCCACCGUAAGGUGUGAGGAAGGUGGGGAUGACGUCAAAUCAGCACGGCCCUUACGUCCGGGGCUACACACGUGUUACAAUGGGGAGUACAGAGCGUCGGUGCAUGGCAAUAUGCAUCCAAUCCUUAAAGCUCUCCUCAGUUCGGAUUGGGGUCUGCAACCCGACCCCAUGAAGCUGGAUUCGCUAGUAAUCGCGCAUCAGCCAUGGCGCGGUGAAUACGUUCCCGGGCCUUGUACACACCGCCCGU